rnacentral:rRNA from 1 species
AGAUUGAACGCUGGCGGCAUGCCUAACACAUGCAAGUCGAACGGGAGUAGCAAUACUCUAGUGGCGGACGGGUGAGGAAUACGUAGGAAUUUGCCCUUAAGUGGGGGAUAACCCGGGGAAACCCGGAUUAAUACCGCAUGACCUCGAAAGAGCAAAGUGGGGGAUCGCAAGACCUCACGCUUUUGGAGAAGCCUACGUCGGAUUAGCUAGUUGGUGAGGUAAUGGCUCACCAAGGCGACGAUCCGUAACUGGUCUGAGAGGAUGAUCAGUCACACCGGAACUGAGACACGGUCCGGACUCCUACGGGAGGCAGCAGUGGGGAAUAUUGGACAAUGGGACGAAAGCC